GACGAACGCUGGCGGCGUGCCUAACACAUGCAAGUCGAACGGAAAGGCCUCUGUCGGUGGGUGCUCGAGUGGCGAACGGUUGAGUAACACGUGAGUGACCGGCCCUUGACUUUGGGAUAACUUCAGGAAACUGGGGCUAAUACCGGAUAGAGACUCCUGCUCCAUGGUGGGGGUUGGAAAGUUUCGGCGUGUUGGGGUGGACUCGCGGCUUAUCAGCUUGUUGGUGGGGUAGUGGCUUACCAAGGCUUUGACGGGUAGCCGGCCUGAGAGGGUGACGGGCAACAUUCGGACUGAGACUCGGACACGACUCCUACGGGAGGGAGAAGCGGCGAUGAUUGAACAAGCGGUGGAAGCCAGAUGCAGAAACGCCGAUGGCGGGAGGACGGCGUUCGGGUUGUAAACCGAUUUCGCUCAUGACGAAGCUUUGUGUGACGGUAGUGGGUAAAGAAGCACCGGCUAACUACGUG
rnacentral:rRNA from 1 species